GUUUGGCUGUGAGGAUUCUAUAUACAGCUUUAAAAUGCCAGUUCUGCUUCUGAAAUUCCUUGAUUGAUAAGCUGUUCUAUUUUCUGAGCCUCCU
rfam:Corchorus capsularis cultivar CVL-1 contig05564, whole genome shotgun sequence.